GAUGAACGCUGGCGGCGUGCCUAACACAUGCAAGUCGAACGCUCUCGCGCAAGCGAGAGAGUGGCGGACGGGUGAGGAACACGUGGGUGAUCUACCCAAAGGUGAGGAAUACCGGCGAGAAAUCGCCGACAAUACCGCAUACGUUUCGCAAGAAACAAAGUCGCAAGACGCCUCUGGAUGAGCCUGCGUCCGAUUAGCUAGCUGGUGGGGUAAAAGCCUACCAGGGCAACGAUCGGUAGCUGGUCUGAGAGGACGAUCAGCCACACUGGGAUUGAGAACGGCCCAGACUCCUACGGGAGGCAG
rnacentral:rRNA from 1 species